UUUCCUUACACCUGCUGUUGAAGUCUGUUAUGGCUCACCUCGCUAGUUUGACUUUUGUGGCGUUUUUGGGAGGAUUUUAAUGAAAUCGUCUGACAUUUAUAUUAUGGCUUUCUGUAUGUUACAGCCUGACGAAGAAGCGAGAGGAAAUGCGCACAGGAUGUGGGAUCUCAUUCUGAGGUUUGGUUCAGUCCGGUCUAGUCUGGUCAGCUCUCAAAAUAUGUGCCGACAAACAGAAGAGAGGCCACUAAACGGGGACACUGGCAGGGAGUGUAUUGCACGAUGA